CCUACGGGUGACAGCAGUGAGGAAUAUUGGUCAAUGGACGAGAGUCUGAACCAGCCAAGUAGCGUGAAGGAUGACUGCCCUAUGGGUUGUAAACUUCUUUUAUAUGGGAAUAAAAUGUUCCACGUGUGGGAUUUUGUAUGUACCAUAUGAAUAAGGAUCGGCUAACUCCGUGCCAGCAGCCGCGGUAAUACGGAGGAUCCGAGCGUUAUCCGGAUUUAUUGGGUUUAAAGGGUGCGUAGGUGGAUUGUUAAGUCAGUUGUGAAAGUUUGCGGCUCAACCGUAAAAUUGCAGUUGAAACUGGCAGUCUUGAGUGCAGUAGAGGUGGGCGGAAUGCGUGGUGUAGCGGUGAAAUGCUUAGAUAUCACGAAGAACUCCGAUUGCGAAGGCAGUUCACUGGACUGCAACUGACACUGAGGCUCGAAAGUGUGGGUAUCAAACAGGAUUAGAUACCCCUGUAGUC
rnacentral:rRNA from 1 species